UGAGGAAUAUUGGACAAUGGAUGGAAAUCUGAUCCAGCCAUGCCGCGUGCAGGAAGACGGUCCUAUGGAUUGUAAACUGCUUUAGCAUGGGAGCAAUAAGGUGUACGCGUACACCGAUGAGAGUACCAUGAGAAUAAGCACCGGCUAACUCCGUGCCAGCAGCCGCGGUAAUACGGAGGGUGCAAGCGUUAUCCGGAUUUAUUGGGUUUAAAGGGUGCGUAGGCGGAAGUGCAAGUCAGCGGUGAAAUCCCCGCGCUCAACGCGGGAGUUGCCGUUGAUACUGUACAUCUGGAAUGCUCUUGCCGUGGGAGGAAUGAGUAGUGUAGCGGUGAAAUGCAUAGAUAUUACUCAGAACACCGAUUGCGAAGGCAUCUCACGAAGGGGCGAUUGACGCUGAGGCACGAAAGCGUGGGUAUCGAACAGGAUUAGAUACCCUGGUAU
rnacentral:rRNA from 1 species